CUUCACAGGUUAUCCCCGUGGCCUGAGUGGUAGAAGCAAAGCUACUGCUAGUCACUAUUAGUGGCGAUGUCUCCAAAUUGCGUGAAACCCGUCAUACAGCUUCAAGUACCACUUCAAUUGAGAAAUCUUUUGAAGGAACAGAGGUAACUCCUCUUCCCAAUGGUAAAAAGCUUGAAGACAUGGUGGCAAUGCGCAGCCAAGCUCCUAAGUAUUUUAAAUAUAAGGAGAAGGUUCAGAGAGCAGACGGAGAUGGGCGGUAAUUAUCGCCGCUUAAGGUGUGCUCCAGCCUCAUUCGAAAGAUUGGG
rnacentral:ncRNA from 1 species